rnacentral:rRNA from 1 species
ACGACUCCUACGGGAGGCAGCAGUGGGGAAUCUUGCGCAAUGGGGGGAACCCUGACGCAGCGACGCCGCGUGCGGGACGGAGGCCUUCGGGUCGUAAACCGCUUUCAGCAGGGAAGAGUCAAGACUGUACCUGCAGAAGAAGCCCCGGCUAACUACGUGC